rnacentral:lncRNA from 1 species
UUAGAAUUAGUUUAGGAUAAAUCAUGAGCUAGAAACUAACUCUAACCUGUAGAUAAGUUAGAAUAUCCAAACGGGGCCAUGGUGAUAACUCUAGCGCUAUAAGUGACCCUGGUUUCUUAGCUCCCCUGGUGCUCCAAAGUUUGGCUUCCCCUAGUAAAAUCGUCAAUUCCAACAUUUUAAGUACCUCCGUGCACAGAGCAAUCACAUUUUGGGCGCGUAAUCCGUGGCCAAUCGUCAUCCUUUUCAUGUACAAGUACAACCACCAAUUGAAUGUGUAUGUUACAGUAGUGAGAUCAUAUUUACACGUAGUAUUUCAGGCAGCCCUUGUAGUCCCGUAUCUUCGCCAUUGCUUUCUCGAGCGAUCUUUUCUUCACCAGUGUGAACGAAUGCUUAUAUGGUGUUGGUGAUCAAUGGUCAGAGAGGCCGACGAUGGCACCAUCUGCCGGNUC